CAGCACCUCAAGUGGUCAGGAUGAUUAUUGGGCCUAAAGCAUCCGUAGCCGGCUCUGUAAGUUUUCGGUUAAAUCUGUACGCUUAACGUACAGGCUGCCGGGAAUACUGCAGAGCUAGGGAGUGGGAGAGGUAGACGGUACUCGGUAGGAAGGGGUAAAAUCCUUUGAUCUAUUGAUGACCACCUGUGGCGAAGGCGGUCUACCAGAACACGUCCGACGGUGAGGGAUGAAAGCUAGGGGAGCAAACCGGAUUAGAUACCCGAGUAGUCC
rnacentral:rRNA from 1 species